AACGCAAAUUGCGCUCCUUGGUAUUCCGAGGAGCAUGCCUGUUUGAGUGUCAUGAAAUCAUCCACCUCACCUUUGGGCUUUUGUCCUCGGGUCCGGCUGGGACUUGGGCGCUUGCACGUGUCAAAACCUGCUCACCUCAAACGUAUGAUUAACUUGAUCCUGUCUGUUGACCGGUUUGACUCGGUGUUAUAAAUUAUUUCGCUGAGGACAUCCUUCUGGGUGGCCGUUUGACAGUUGGGUCUCGCCCUUAAGUGCGCCACACGUAGACGGGGCUACAUCUUCUUGACAUCUGGCCUCAAAUCAGGUAGGACUACCCGCUGAACUUAA
rnacentral:misc_RNA from 1 species